rnacentral:rRNA from 1 species
CCUACGGGUGGCAGCAGUGGGGAAUAUUGGACAAUGGGCGAAAGCCUGAUCCAGCCAUGCCGCGUGUGUGAAGAAGGCCUUCGGGUUGUAAAGCACUUUCAGUGGGGAAGAAAGCCUUGGGGCUAAUACCCUCGAGGAAGGACAGCACCCACAGAAGAAGCACCGGCUAACUCCGUGCCAGCAGCCGCGGUAAUACGGAGGGUGCGAGCGUUAAUCGGAAUUACUGGGCGUAAAGCGCGCGUAGGCGGUCUGAUAAGCCGGUUGUGAAAGCCCCGGGCUCAACCUGGGAACGGCAUCCGGAACUGUCAGGCUAGAGUGCAGGAGAGGAAGGUAGAAUUCCCGGUGUAGCAGUGAAAUGCGUAGAGAUCGGGAGGAAUACCAGUGGCGAAGGCGGCCUUCUGGACUGACACUGACGCUGAGGUGCGAAAGCGUGGGUAGCAAACAGGAUUAGAUACCCUAGUAGUC